rnacentral:rRNA from 1 species
UGCCAGCCGCCGCGGUAAUACGAAGGGGGCAAGCGUUGUUCGGAAUUACUGGGCGUAAAGCGCGCGUAGGCGGUCACACAAGUCAGGGGUGAAAUCCCGGGGCUCAACCCCGGAACUGCCUUUGAAACUGUGUGACUAGAGUCCGUGAGAGGGUGGUGGAAUUCCUAGUGUAGAGGUGAAAUUCGUAGAUAUUCGGAAGAACAUCAGUGGCGAAGGCGACUCACUGGCACAUUUCUGACGCUGAGGCGCGAAAGCGUGGGGAGCAAACAGGAUUAGAUA